AAGGUCGAUCGGGUGAUUGCGGCAAGUCUUGUACUUGUCGAGGAAAGUCCGCACUCCAAAGAGCAAUAUGCCGGGUAACACCCGGGACGGGGAUAACCUGUCAGAUCGGGCCACAGAAAUAUACCGCCUAAGCAAAUGCUUGCAUUUGACGGUAAGGAUGAAAUGGUGGUGUAAGAGACCACCGGCAUGGGCAGCAAUGCCUAUGGCCAGGCAACCCUCAUAUGGAGCAAGGCCAAGCAGGAACGAGAAGCUGCUCGCUUCACUUUAGUUCUGGGUAGGCUGCACGAGGUACAGGGAGACUUGUAUCCCAGAAAGAUGAUCACACAGGUAAAGCUAUGGUUGGGAAGAAGUCCCUUGGGAUGUAAACUAACUGUAAUUACUGGACAGAAUGCGGCUUAUAGAUCGACCUGGGUG
rnacentral:RNase_P_RNA from 1 species